AUGUAAUAAAUUGGUAUCAGAGCCAAACGUCAUGGGCGACUCACAUACAAGAGAUGGCCUAUGAGCUCUUCUCUAGCAAACACAAGCAGCUACCGAAGUAAGGGUAGCUCAGGUUGAGUCGAGAAUGGAGGGUAACCCAAUCAGAGUCAAGACUGGAAGCCUAGCUACAUAACCUAUCUUGACAGCUCUAAGAACUCCUUUGUGGUAUAUAGGGGAACCAAGGAGAAGAACCAGAAGAUGGCAAAGGAAGUAGUGGCAGCAACCUAGUAAAUCUCAGCAAUAGAAUUGAAACAGAGACGCAAAACGAGAUAGAGAUAGUACUAAGGAAU
rnacentral:misc_RNA from 1 species